rnacentral:rRNA from 1 species
UACAGAGGGUGCGAGCGUUAAUCGGAAUUACUGGGCGUAAAGCGUGCGCAGACGGUCAUGUAAGUCGGGUGUGAAAGCCCCGGGCUCAACCUGGGAAUUGCAUUCGAGACUGCGUGGCUAGGGUGCGGAAGAGGGAAGCGGAAUUUCCGGUGUAGCGGUGAAAUGCGUAGAUAUCGGAAGGAACACCAGUGGCGAAAGCGGCUUCCUGGUCCAGCACCGACGUCAGGCACGAAAGCGUGGGGAGCAAACAGG